AGCUUUGUGCAGUGGCAGUAUCAUAGCCAAUGAGGUUUUUGCGAGACGCGAUUAUUGCUAAUUAAAUUUUAAAAAAGAAAAUACAGAGAUACAGAUAUAUCUGCACACAUUGGGAGGCUGAGGCAGGAGGAUCGCUGUAAAUUUGAGGCCCUUCUUAAAAGAC
rnacentral:snRNA from 1 species